rnacentral:rRNA from 1 species
GUCAAACUUUAGUAUGGAGAAAUCAACAGCAAUCUAACGCGCUAGCAGCAUUACGCGUAGUGAAAUAUUUCAAUAAAUACCACUGUCUGUGCGUUAAAUUAAGCCAAACAUUACUGCUAAACAGGGAUUAGAGACCCCUUUAUACAAAUGCUCACGAGAUAUUGCGGAGGACUACAACUAUCUGAGUUAAAACUUAAGCAACAUGGCGGUAAUUUUAAUUUAGGGGAACUUACUUAAUAAUUGAUAACCACCAAGGUGAAUCAACUACAUAAAAAUCUUGUAUGCCGUCGUCGUCAGGUAGCACUAGAAGUUCUACCUUAAUAGAUACUCUCUUAAAAGACAGAUCAAGGUGCAGACAAUUAUGUAGGCCUAGCGAGUUACAAUUUUAAUUACUAACGAAUAUCAAAUGUAAAACAUAUUGAAGACGGACUUAACAGUAAUAAAUAUUACUUAUACUUUAUGAAAUUAUUAAAARUGUGC